rnacentral:rRNA from 1 species
GUCUUUUUGAUUAUAAUUUAAAGUCUAACCUGCCCAAUGAGUAGUUAAAUGGCCGCGGUAAUUUGACCGUGCAAAGGUAGCAUAAUCAUUAGUUUUUUAAUUGAAAGCUGGAAUGAAUGGUUGGACGAGAAAAUGACUGUCUCAGUUUAAUUGAAUAUAGAAUUUUAUUUAUAAGUAAAAAAGCUUAUAUGAUUUUAAAAGACGAGAAGACCCUAUAGAGUUUUACAUUUAAUUUUAUUGAUUAAGUUUAGUAUAUUUAUGUUUUUAAUUAAAUUAAAUGUUUUGCUGGGGCAGCAGAAAAAUUGAAUAAACUUUUUUUAUUAUUAUUACAUUGAUUUAUGGUUUAAUGAUCCAUUUUUUAUGAUUACAAGAUUAAAUUACCUUAGGGAUAACAGCGUAAUUUUUUUUUAGAGUUCUUAUCGAAAAAAGAGUUUGCGACCUCGAUGUUGGAUUAAAAUUAACUUUUGGUGUAGGGGCUAAAAGGUUAGGUCUGUUCGACCUUUAAAAUUUUACA